rnacentral:rRNA from 1 species
UACAGAGGGGGCCAGCGUUAUUCGGAAUUAUUGGGCGUAAAGGGCGCGUAGGCGGCCAUGCGUGUCUUCCGUGAAAUCCCUCGGCUUAACUGAGGACGUGCGGAAGAAACUGCAAGGGCUCGAGUCCGGGGAGAGGGGGGUGGAAUUCCCAGUGUAGCGGUGAAAUGCGUAGAUAUUGGGAGGAACACCGGUGGCGAAGGCGGCCCCCUG